AUUGAACGCUGGCGGAAUGCUUAAUACAUGCAAGUCGGGGGGCAGCAGGUCCCGCAGCAAUGCGGGAUGCUGGCGAGCGGGAAACGGGUUCGGUACACGUACACAAGCUUCCUUUAAGUGGCGAAUAGCCCGUGGAAACCCGGAUUAAUACUCCAUAAAAUAGCGAAAUCGAAUCAUUUUAUUAUUAAAGCUCCGGCGCUUAAUGAUGGGUGUGCGGCUGAUUAGGCAGUUGGCGGGGUAACGGCCCACCAAACCUACGAUCAGUAACUGGUGGGAGAGCACGACCAGUCACACGGGAACUGAGACACGGGCCCGACUCCUACGGGAGGCAGCAGUAAGGAAUAUUGGUCAAUGGACGCAAGCCUGAACCAGCCAUGCCGCGUGGAGGAUGAAGGUCCUCUGGAUUGUAAACUUCUUUUAUUUGGGAAGAAAUCACAAUUUUCUUGGGUGGUUGACGGUACCAGAUGAAUAAGCACCGGCUAACUCCGUGCCAGCAGCCGCAGUAA
rnacentral:rRNA from 1 species